AUUGAACGCUGGCGGCAUGCUUUACACAUGCAAGUCGAACGGUAACAGGUUAAGCUGACGAGUGGCGAACGGGUGAGUAAUGCAUCGGAACGUGCCCGGUCGUGGGGGAUAACGCAGCGAAAGCUGCGCUAAUACCGCAUACGAUCUAAGGAUGAAAGCGGGGGACCGUAGGGCCUCGCGCGAUCGGAGCGGCCGAUGUCAGAUUAGGUAGUUGGUGGGGUAAAGGCUCACCAAGCCAACGAUCUGUAGCUGGUCUGAGAGGACGACCAGCCACACUGGGACUGAGACACGGCCCAGACUCCUACGGGAGGCAGCAGUGGGGAAUUCUGGACAAUGGGAGAAAGCCUGAUCCAGCAAUGCCGCGUGCAGGAAGAAGGCCUUCGGGUUGUAAACUGCUUUUGUACGGAGCGAAAAGGUCUCCUCUAAUACAGGGGGCUCAUGACGGUACCGUAAGAAUAAGCACCGGCUAACUACGUGCCAGCAGCCGCCGUAA
rnacentral:rRNA from 1 species